rnacentral:rRNA from 1 species
CGGCGAGUGAAGCGGCAACAGCUCAAAUUUGAAAUCUGGCUCUAGGGCCCGAGUUGUAAUUUGCAGAGGAUGAUUUUGGCGCGGUGCCUUCCGAGUUCCCUGGAACGGGACGCCUUAGAGGGUGAGAGCCCCGUACGGUUGGACACCAAGCCUCUGUAAAUCUCCUUCGACGAGUCGAGUAGUUUGGGAAUGCUGCUCUAAAUGGGAGGUAAAUUUCUUCUAAAGCUAAAUACCGGCCAGAGACCGAUAGCGCACAAGUAGAGUGAUCGAAAGAUGAAAAGCACUUUGAAAAGAGGGUUAAAUAGCACGUGAAAUUGUUGAAAGGGAAGCAUUUACUACCAGACCUUCUCCCUGCGGAUCAUGCGGUGUUCUCACCGCUGCACUUCGCUUGGUUUAGGCCAGCAUCGGUUUUCGUAGAGGGAUAAAAGCUUUAGGAACGUAGCUCCCUCGGGAGUGUUAUAGCCUUUUGCAUAAUACCUUUACGGGGACCGAGGACCGCGCUUUUGCAAGGAUGCUGGCAUAAUGGUAGUCAAUGACCCGUCUUGAAACACGGACCAAGGAGUCGAACAUUUGUGCGAGUGUUUGGGUGUCAAACCCUCACGCGUAAUGAAAGUGAACGUAGGUGAGAGCCCUUACGGGUGCAUCAUCGACCGAUCUUGAUGUCUUCGGAUGGAUUUGAGUAAGAGCAUAACUGUUCGGACCCGAAAGAUGGUGAACUAUGCGUGGAUAGGGUGAAGCCAGAGGAAACUCUGGUGGAGGCUCGCAGCGGUUCUGACGUGCAAAUCGAUCGUCAAAUCUGCGCAUGGGGGCGAAAG